CACAUCCAAGGAAGGCAGCAGGCGCGUAAAUUACCCAAUCCUGACUCAGGGAGGUAGUGACAAGAAAUAACAAUAAACCGGCUUAUGCCGGUUUAAUUGGAAUGAGUACAAUUUAAACAUCUUAACGAGGAACAAUUGGAGGGCAAGUCUGGUGCCAGCAGCCGCGGUAAUUCCAGCUCCAAUAGCGUAUACUAAAGUUGUUGCAGUUAAAAAGCUCGUAGUUGGAUUUCUGUGGGGACGGAGCGGCCGGCCGCAACACGCGGUUCGAGCUAGCGCUUUCCCUACAUCCUGCCGCGAACCGUGCUACCAUUAAUUUGGUGGCGCCGGGGAUCGGCUCGAUUACUUUGAGAAAAAUAGAGUGUUCAAAGCAGGCCACAUGCCUUGAAUAAGUUAGCAUGGAAUAAUAACUAAGGACUUCGGUGCUAUUUUGUUGGUGUUCGGGACUGAAGUAAUGAUUGAUAGGGACAGUUGGGGCGGUCUGUAUUCCAAAGCGAGAGGUGAAAUUCUUAGACCUUCGGAAGACAAACAGCUGCGAAAGCGUUCCGCAAGGAUGUUCCCUUUGAUCAAGAACGAAAGUUGGGGGAUCGAAGACGAUCAGAUACCGUCGUAGUCUCAACUAUAAACUAUACCAGCUAGGGAUCGGCCAACGUUAUUUUAUACCGACUUGGUCGGCACCUUAUGAGAAAUCAAAGCAUCUGGGUUCCGGGGGGAGUAUGGUCGCAAGGCUGAAACUUAAAGGAAUUGACGGAAGGGCACCACCAGCCGUGGAGCCUGUGGCUUAAUUUGACUCAACACGGGAAAACUUACCAGGUCCAGACAUAGUAAGGAUUGACAGAUUGAUAGCUCUUUCUUGAUUCUGUGGGUGGUGGUGCAUGGCCGUUCUUAGUUGGUGGAGUGAUUUGUCUGGUUAAUUCCGUUAACGAACGAGACCCCAGCCUGCUAAAUAGCGCGCGUGAGCUUUGCUCGCGGCGAGCUUCUUAGAGGGACUAUGAUGCGCGAUAGCACAUGGAAGUUUGGGGCAAUAACAGGUCUGUGAUGCCCUUAGAUGUUCUGGGCCGCACACGGGCUACACUGGCGCCUGCAACGAGCAUAUCAGCUGGCCCGAGAGGGUCUUGGCUAAUCUUUUGAACCGGCGCCGUGCUUGGGAUUGACCUUUGCAAUUGUUGGUCAUGCAACGAGGAAUGCCUUGUAAACGCGAGUCAUCAGCUCGCAUUGAAUACGUCCCUGCCCUUUGUACACACCGCCCGUCGCUCCUACCGAUGAAUGUUCCGAUGAAAUUUUCGGAGAGCACCUGUGAACUUGGCUCCGCCUUGCGAACGGGAGGCUCAAAGUCACUUAAAUCUGAACA
rnacentral:rRNA from 1 species